GGGCCGUUAGCUCAAUGGUAGAGCAACGGACUCUUAAUCCGCAGGUUCCCAGUUCGAGUCUGGGACGGCCCACCA
rnacentral:tRNA from 2 species